CAGUAGCCGCGGGAACACCGAGGGUGCGAGCGUUAAUCGGAUUUACUGGGCGUAAAGCGCGCGUAGGUGGUUUGGUAAGAUGGAUGUGAAAUCCCCGGGCUCAACCUGGGAACUGCAUCCAUAACUGCCUGACUAGAGUACGGUAGAGGGUGGUGGAAUUUCCUGUGUAGCGGUGAAAUGCGUAGAUAUAGGAAGGAACACCAGUGGCGAAGGCGACCACCUGGACUGAUACUGACACUGAGGUGCGAAAGCGUGGGGAGCAAACAGGAUUAGAGACCCCGGUAGUCCCUGUCUCUUAUAC
rnacentral:rRNA from 1 species